rnacentral:tRNA from 1 species
GGAAGUAUACUCAAAUUGGUGAAGAGAACAGUCUUGAAAACCGUUAGGUCGGUAACACGACGUGGGAGUUCGAAUCUCUCUGCUUCCA